rnacentral:rRNA from 1 species
AUAAAUCUAUAUUGAUAAAAGGGCAUUAUAAAUCUAGUUAGGGCCCUAAUAU